AAUGGAUUUUUGGAGCUGGGAGUUGGAAUAGGAGCUUGCUCCGUCCACUCCACGCAUCGACCUGGUAUUGCAGUA
rnacentral:snRNA from 1 species